rnacentral:rRNA from 1 species
UACGUAGGGCGCAAGCGUUGUCCGGAAUUAUUGGGCGUAAAGAGCUCGUAGGCGGUCUGUCACGUCUGCCGUGAAAACCCGAGGCUUAACCUCGUGGCUUGCGGUGGAUACGGGCAGACUAGAGGUAGGUAGGGGAGAAUGGAAUUCCCGGUGUAGCGGUGAAAUGCGCAGAUAUCGGGAGGAACACCGGUGGCGAAGGCGGUUCUCUGGGCCUUACCUGACGCUGA